rnacentral:lncRNA from 1 species
GGGUGUGUGUGUGUUGUGCUGUGGGUUGGCCAAGAAGUCAUCUUUCUGUUUGUGACCAAAUGCGCAGAGCCUGGAAGAGAGCCUGACAACUACUAGAUGUUCGCCGAGUAUUUGCAGAGUGGAUGAAUGCACACUGGUCAACUGCUC